rnacentral:rRNA from 1 species
AACGAACGCUGGCGGCAUGCCUAACACAUGCAAGUCGAACGAGACCUUCGGGUCUAGUGGCGCAAGGGUGCGUAACGCGUGGGAACCUGCCCUUAGGUUCGGAAUAACUCCCCGAAAGGGGUGCUAAUACCGGAUAAUGUCUUCGGACCAAAGAUUUAUCGCCUUUGGAUGGGCCCGCGUUGGAUUAGCUAGUUGGUAGGGUAAAAGCCUACCAAGGCGAGGAUCAAUAGCUGGUCUGAGAGGAUGAUCAGCCACACUGGGACUGAGACACGGCCCAGACUCCUACGGGAGGCAGCAGUGGGGAAUAUUGGACAAUGGGCGAAAGCCUGAUCCAGCAAUGCCGCGUGAGUGAUGAAGGCCUUAGGGUUGUAAAGCUCUUUUACCCGGGAUGAUAAUGACAGUACCGGGAGAAUAAGCGCCGGCUAACUCCGUG